GCGAGAAUUCAGCACCAACUCUUCAUCCUUGCUGGGAGGCCUAUCGUAUAUGUGAUGAGAGGGCUUCUUUCAUCUAUGUGAACAUGUUCUCAGGGGAGGCAACCACACACUUACCAACUGCAACACAAACGCCAAGAGGAGGAAUUCUAGCAGAUGCAAUGGGAAUGGGGAAGACUAUGAUGACAAUUGCUCUAAUACUUGCAAGACCAAGGAGAGGAAGCUCUGAUAGUAUUGAAAUUACAAAGAA